AGUGAACGCUGGCGGUAGGCCUAACACAUGCAAGUCGAACGGCAGCACAGUAAGAGCUUGCUCUUACGGGUGGCGAGUGGCGGACGGGUGAGGAAUACAUCGGAAUCUACUUUUUCGUGGGGGAUAACGUAGGGAAACUUACGCUAAUACCGCAUACGACCUACGGGUGAAAGCAGGGGAUCUUCGGACCUUGCGCGAUUGAAUGAGCCGAUGUCGGAUUAGCUAGUUGGUGGGGUAAAGGCCUACCAAGGCGACGAUCCGUAGCUGGUCUGAGAGGAUGAUCAGCCACACUGGAACUGAGACACGGUCCAGACUCCUACGGGAGGCAGCAGUGGGGAAUAUUGGACAAUGGGCGCAAGCCUGAUCCAGCCAUACCGCGUGGGUGAAGAAGGCCUUCGGGUUGUAAAGCCCUUUUGUUGGGAAAGAAAAGCAGCAGGUUAAUACCCCGCUGUUCUGACGGUACCCAAAGAAUAAGCACCGGCUAACUUCGUG
rnacentral:rRNA from 1 species